GAACAGUCUGCAUGCUUUUUACUUGAUGAGGGUUUUACUGGAGAAUCAGAAUCUGUUGAAAGAUGUUGAAGCAUUUCUUGACAGAUUCUUUUAUACUCAUCUGGAGUUUUGGCAGCAGCUAACCUUGCUUGGCACUGUGCUUUUUGGAUUCCGAAAGUCGGUUGAUCCUUUAAUGCAAGAGUGGUUGCAUAGGUUAAUGGAGAAACUUGUUUUAAUUUAUU
rnacentral:lncRNA from 1 species